AAAACAUUACGUGAUAAAUUGCGGGGCGAUUUACAUCAGGACGACCGACGACGGCGCUUUGUCGUGGAAAUGAUAACAAUAUGCGUUUUAUACGCCGUCGCCGGAACCAUCAACGCCGUCUCUUAGAAAAUAAGCACCUCUCAUACACGUUUAUUUUAUUUUUACGCCUCUCUGCCGUUGUUGUUACUAUUAUUUCGAAAGAUAUUGCGGACGGCCGGGAAACGAUGCACGGUAUACGUCACGGCAGUGGCGUGUCAAAGUAGGUUUAUUUGAGACAAUCGCCUCAUGGCUAAAAUGGGCCGGUGGAUGGGUGACCGGCAAAUUUGAUGAAUGUUGAAAACGAUUAACCAGUUCAGAGACCGGGGAUGCCGUUAGUUUUCGUGUAUUGUAUUAUUAACGUACAUACACACGGGCAUUAUUAUAGUAUAUAUUAUGCAGUCGAUUCAGCUAAAGAAGAUUUUCGUUGUAAAACAAAUUAUUUACAGGACACAUAAAAUGUCCAUGUUUAGUGAGCGAGCGGGUCCUGAUUAUUUUGUUUUGUCUCAAAAUCGAAAAUUGUUGAGAAGUCUCUCUCGUCUAACGGCUCUAACUGAUUACGUACACACAAAAAAAAAAUUAUUUAUUUUAAAUACAACAGUACGCAUUAUAAAAGGAAAAUAAUUUGCGUGUUAUUCGUAGUGUUUUUAUUUUAUACGUUAGAACCGUCGGGAGACUU